ACCUUCGUGGUGUAGUGGUCAGCACGCUCGACGCGUAACCGAGAUUCGCGUCCGUGGUUCGAUUCCCGGCGAAAGCG
rnacentral:tRNA from 1 species